GGAUUAGUUCAGUUGGUUAGAGCAUGGGACUUCUAAUGCCAAGGUUGUGUGUUUGAUCCCCAUAUGGGCCA